rnacentral:rRNA from 1 species
AGUGAUUCUAAAAUAUAUA